UACAGAGGGUGCGAGCGUUGUCCGGAAUCACUGGGCGUAAAGGGCGCGUAGGCGGUGACUUAAGCGUGUGGUGAAAGCUCGGGGCUCAACCCCGAGUCGGCCGUGCGAACUGGGUCACUGGAGCAGAUCAGAGGCAGGCGGAAUUCCGGGUGUAGCGGUGGAAUGCGUAGAGAUCCGGAAGAACACCGGUGGCGAAGGCGGCCUGCUGGGAUCUUGCUGACGCUGAGGCGCGACAGCGUGGGGGAGCAAACAGG
rnacentral:rRNA from 1 species